UCUGCUGUGUUGAGUCCAGUGUGUGCAGCGCUGAACUUUAAUCUCCUCUGUUUCAGCUCACAGAAGAGGAGGAGAGCAGAAGCAGAGCCCAGCUGUGUGUCUCUGAAGAGUGACCGGUCUAUGGGUCACCCAGAAAACAAUUUUAGGAGUGAACACACACCACCUGCUCUCAGGUGGACCAUCUCUAUUAGCUCACAGAAGAGGAGGAGAGCAGAAGCAGAGCCCAGCUGUGUGUCUCUGAAGAGUGACUGGUCUAUGGAUCACCCAAGAACUGAUUUUAGGAGUGAACACACACCACCUGUUGUUGUCCUCAGUGUGGAUAGAGAUGAUCAGACUGGAGACCUGCAGCAGGAUUCACUCCAACCAGAACAUGA